rnacentral:tRNA from 1 species
GGAGAGGUGCCCGAGCGGCUUAAGGGACACGUCUUGAAAACGUGCGUGGCAAAACCACCGUGGGUUCGAAUCCCACCCUCUCCGCCA